AUGCGAGACAGCUCUGAUUAUCCGUUCAUUGGACAGUCUCAGGAACGAUUGUAUGCUUGGUGUAUAAAUGAUAAUGUUGAUGUUUGCCAACUUUUAGUUUGGGCUCUUGAGGAUUAUGGUGGUGCAAAGUGGGCCUUGAAGGAUACUGUUAACGUUUCAGAACUGUUUGGAAGGGAUCGUUACAAAUAUGUGGAGCCCUUAGCAAUUCAUCCAGAUUGUGAUUUGAUUUUCCUUACCGACCAGAGGGGGAAGGCUAUCUCAUAUGAUAUGGACAGCAAGAAAGUGCAUGUUAUCGGCACUCACGAAACAUUCUAUGGUGCUAUACCUUAUGUUCCAUGUUUUGCGGAAUGGCCGUCAGAUGGUCACUGA
rnacentral:rRNA from 1 species